GCCGGGUGGGGUGGCGCAUGCCUGUAAUCCCAGCAGCUCAGGAGGCUGAGACAGGAGGAUCGCAGGUUCAAAGCCAGCCUUAGCAAUAGUGAGGCACUAAGCAACUCACUGAGACCCUGUCUCUA
rnacentral:sRNA from 1 species